rnacentral:antisense_RNA from 1 species
AGGGCGCCACUCGCUUUGAAGUGCAGACGAGGAGGCGCGGGCGCGAGCGUGUGUGUCUGUGGGGCUGCUGUGGGACUGUCUGUGCUAGGAGAGCGGCGGAAAACCCGGCGUGGAGCGCCUGCAGUCCGCCGUCCGGGGUCGCGCCCGCCGCGGGGCUCAGGAGGGACCGGCACGCAGGCGCGCACGGCCGCGCACCUGCCUCGCUAGAACCCCGCGCGCCCCGCCGAGCCACUGCCCUCCAGGUUGCUCAGACCGCUGGAGCCUCUGCGUCUCCACGACCGGCUGCUUCCUGCGAAGUUUCACAAACAAGAUUUGAUUGAAAAUGGCCCAUGGAGUACCACCUGGGAACAUAUCCUCGAGAAAGACAGUUGAGGCUUAUUGCCUAAACCACAGGCUACUGAAAACUUGGCCAAAGGCGACUACUCUAGACUGGUGACUUCAAAAGUGCUGAUGAAUACAGUGAACCAUGAAAGAUGCAUUAUUUGUUUUGAACAUUUUACUAUGAUUGAUGACCCAGAUUUGGCAAGUUAGUUCACUCCCAGUGGAGAUGAAAGUUUCACUGCCUUCUUUCUUUCAACAUUCUUGUUGAGACAGAUUUCACUUUUAUUGGCCAAUGUACUAACAAAUCACUUGCAUUUGCAGCAUAAUGAAUUCAUUAGCAACACUGUGGAUCAAUGCUAUACAUAAUAUUCCUGAGUCAACAUUAACUCUUAAUUAAACUUCCUU